CACAGGCCUCCCUUUCCAACAUUCCCUUCAGUUAAUAAUCACAAGGAUUCAGGAGAGUUGGAGAGCUAAGUCUUGAUGCCCCAAAAGUGAGGCACAUUAUCCUUAAGCCAUUCCUGAUCAAUCUUGGCUUUAUGGGUGUGGGUUGAGUCCUGUUUGAAGGUGUACCUCCUGCCUCCAGACACUUUGUCCAUCAAGGGGUACAUCAUGUUCUUGAGCACGUGAUUUCUUUGUUCACCUUCUGUAUGGGCUUGAAGAAACACUUCUAAUGACGCCCAAGGCCAUCGCGGUGGCUGGGUUCUUUAUCCUGAACACCAUGGAUACUUCAGAUGGUUAUUUAUUAAUUCAUUUUUCAUUUUGGCUGCUUCUUUUCUUGUCAACAGUGAAUAAUUAAUAUUUUCUAAACGGAGAAGAAUCGCAAAUGUCCUUCAGGGUUCUUCAAGGAAGACAGGGUUUUCUUGCAUCUAGCCUCUCCGGUGAGCUUCAUUGUAUCUGUUAACUGGUGCUUCAUCUUUAGGACUUAACUGUUGUACCCUAAGUUCUCAUCGAUGGCUCUGGAAAUGUUACUGCUGUACACUGGGUUGUUUUUAAAGGACCAAUUAGACCAGUUCAAAUUUUAACUUUUUUUCAAAUCUUUUUAUAUUUGACUUUUUUCCAUUCACAUGGUCUACCUUUAGAAACUAAAUAUACCAGUACUUUGGAUUUAGGACCACGGCUAUGCCUUCUGCAUGGGCCUUGAAAAUUUAUUGUUGGUGUCUCUAAAAAAAGGUAAAAAAAAUAUGAUUGUUUGUAUUCUUUCGACUAGAGCUUCGCAAUGGCUUAUCGUAUAGCAUUGAUAUGGAUAUCAAAUGAAAGCCAAUAAACUGUCCUUUAAUUUUUAUAAAUACGUUAUUAAUCUUUUAUUUGUGCCCAGGUGUAAAUUUAACGUCAGAUAUUUUAAAAAAAUGUUUGUUUUUAUUUUUCCCCUGUCUUUUUAUGUAUUCUCCUAAUUUAUUAUUAUCUUGACCAAGAGUCACCAAACUUUUUUUACUGUGGGCCUGAUAAAUGAAAGAAUGGCGAGAACGGGACACACGAUCAUUCUGUUUUGUAACUUGUAACAGUGACAUUAAUUUUCCUCAAAUUUUUUUAUGAAGAAGUUUCUUUGAUUUUCUAAACUACAUUUAAUGGACUAUUAAUUGUCAGAGUGAACGCUCCAGAAAACUUUUGGCGGAUUUUUUGAUUCAUUGUGACGCAAAGAUUGUAGUUUUUCAAAACUGCAACACUUUUGCUGAGUAUUAAGCAACCAGCCUUCUGGGCCUUUGUUUCCACAAAGAAAUACUUUGUGCUAACUCUUCUAUAAAACACUUGGUAUUCAUUUUUCACAUUUUAUUAGCCAUAAUGAAGAGUGAAGGAAACGGGAUCUGAAAAUGAAAGAAUAUGAAAGUUACAUAAUUGUGGGAUACCUAAAUGGAGAUGGAGAAAAUGAAUGUAGCUCCUGCUAGUACUACAUAUGCACUGAAUAUAUAUUUUUUUAAAUGCAUAGAACAGGACAAAGAUACUCUAUAGUUUUCCCAACAACAGAUUCAAAUUUAAAUUUUAUGGCAAAGUUUCGCGUUCCAUACGUUUUAUUAAGAACAUUCAAGUACUCUCGACAGGCCAGAUGAACUGACGUUGAGGGCCGGAUCUGGUCUGCAGGACGUAGUUUGGUGACUCCUGAUCUUGAUAUACAUGUAUACAAAAAUAGAAUACAAUAGAAUAAAAUACAAUAUAUACAUUUAUUCUUUGAACAAAGCUAAUAACUCUAUAUUAAAAA
rnacentral:lncRNA from 1 species